rnacentral:rRNA from 1 species
GACGAACGCUGGCGGCGUGCUUAACACAUGCAAGUCGAACGAUGAAGCCGGAGCUUGCUCUGGUGAAUUAGUGGCGAACGGGUGAGUAACACGUGAGUAACCUGCCCUUGACUCUGGGAUAACUGCGGGUAACUGUAGCUAAUACCGGAUACGACCCUCGGAGGCAUCUCCUGGGGGUGGAAAGAAUUUCGGUCAAGGAUGGACUCGCGGCCUAUCAGCUAGUUGGUGAGGUGAAGGCUCACCAAGGCGACGACGGGUAGCCGGCCGGAGAGGGCGGCCGGCCACACUGGGACUGAGACACGGCCCAGACUCCUACGGGAGGCAGCAGUGGGGAGUAUUGCGCAAUGGGCGGAAGCCUGACGCAGCAACGCCGCGUGCGGGAUGACGGCCUUCGGGUUGUAAACCGCUUUCAGCAGGGAAGAAGCCGCAAGGUGACGGUACCUGCAGAAAAAGCACCGGCUAACUACGUGCCAGCAGCCGCAGUAA